AACGAACGCUGGCGGCAGGCCUAACACAUGCAAGUCGAACGCCCUAGCAAUAGGGAGUGGCAGACGGGUGAGUAACACGUGGGAAACCUUCCCUAUACUACGGAAUAGCCCAGGGAAACUUGGAGUAAUACCGUAUACGCCCGAGAGGGGAAAGAUUUAUCGGUAUAGGAUGGGCCCGCGUCGGAUUAGCUAGUUGGUGAGGUAAUGGCUCACCAAGGCGACGAUCCGUAGCUGGUUUGAGAGAACGACCAGCCACACUGGGACUGAGACACGGCCCAGACUCCUACGGGAGGCAGCAGUGGGGAAUAUUGGACAAUGGGCGCAAGCCUGAUCCAGCCAUGCCGCGUGAGUGAUGAAGGCCUUAGGGUUGUAAAGCUCUUUUGCCGGGGACGAUAAUGACGGUACCCGGAGAAUAAGUCCCGGCUAACUUCGUGCCAGCAGCCGCCGUAA
rnacentral:rRNA from 1 species